rfam:Camelus ferus unplaced genomic scaffold scaffold228, whole genome shotgun sequence.
GAGGGUAUAGCUCAGUGGUAGAGCAUAUGCUUAGCAUGCAUAUGCUGGGUUCAAUCCCCAGUAUCUCCA